UAACCCUCGCCAACUCGAUGGCAACAUCGUGGGAAGCGGACUUGGACGUUGCCGGUCGCGAGAUCGGCUUGUCUCGAAAUGCAUUAGCGGAGUGAGACGCGUGCGCGACGUUGAUAAUCAUCCACGCCCCGCGAGCGUUGCACCUCGCUUCCAAUCGCCGAGAGGCAAUUGUCAGA
rnacentral:misc_RNA from 1 species